ACCCUAACUGUCAUCAUAGUUUAUCCAGUAACUGAUGGAAGCAGAUGCAAAGAUCCACAGCCAAGCACCAGGCCGAGCUCCAGGAGUCCAGUUGAAGAGAGUGAAGAGGGAUUCUAUGAGCAAGGGCAUCAAGAUCAUAAUGGGGAAACCUACAGAGACAACCAAACCAAACUAAAAGGUCCCAGAUCUCCAGUGCAAGUGACGUGCACUCUAAGGCCUUCUUUGAAGCAGUGGCAAACUGAAAGAACUUCCCACAUAGCCUAAGCAGCUGCCCUGCUGAAACUUGAGAGCAGCACUACAACUUUUUUCAAGAUGUAUAUGCAGAAUUUUCUGGAUUCAAAUAAGUCAGCCAAGAAUACAUGUCUCCCCCUCAAAGAGUCCUGCCAUGUACCACUACAGUUUCAGCUUACUAAAUUAUGACUUCUACAAAGAAAUAAAUACUCAUCCACAGAAAGCAAAUCAGCAAUCACAUCUCUCUUCUCAGAUGGUUCAUCCAAAGCUAAUGUAGAUGCAGAUUUCACAGGGUAGCUCAAAACUUUCUCUCCCUUUCUCCCUCUCUCUUUCCCUCAGUCCCUCCCCUCUCUCAGAUACAUCAGGACACAUUGGCCAUGACAGAGGAUCACAAAAGGUGAGCAUCAAGUAUGGGUAUCUCAUCACUCUACAGCAAUAUCGAGAAGGCUAGCAUAGCCCUGUAAGCCACUCCGCUUCUACAGCUGUCUCUACUGAAUCUCAAUUAAAAAUAGCUGUUUAAAUCACC